rnacentral:SRP_RNA from 1 species
UCGUGCUAGACGGGGAGCUAGCGGUGCCCUGUACCCGCAAUCCGCUAUAGCGGGGUCGAAUUCCCGCUCGAGGUCUUGGCGCCGCAGGGACUGUCCUCGGUAAGCAGUGUUGAUGACCUGGCCCUGCGCGGCGGGACGCUGUGAACCCCGUCAGGCCCGGAAGGGAGCAGCGGUAAGUAGUUAGUCCCGGGCGCCGCAGGUUUACCGGGUCGGAGUUGGCUGCCAGGGACAAGCCUGCGGACCGGAUCGACAGCGGGUGCACGA